rnacentral:lncRNA from 14 species
GGGCGCUCUCAUAAACGCCAUGCUAUUUUUAUUAUUGGGGUCAGAGAGGAGAACAUCCGUAAAGUAGCCCCAUGGUGCCUGCUCUGGAAAUUCAUGGGCCUGUCCAUGAGGACUUGGAAAGGAGGCUGCACAUGAACAACAUAAAGCAAGCUGAGCAAUAUUCCAGUGGAUGACGUUUCAGCCCUCAAAUCAUCUAAGAGAAAAGAACACGACAAAGCUGCAAAUUAAACCUCCUACUCUGCAAAUGGCACAGCUUAACACUAUUAGCCUGCAGAAAGAGAAUUUGCUGGGUCACUGGGAGCUGGCUACCAACGCAUCUGUCACACCAGCCACCUUGGGAAGUGAGUCCAUAUGUUUAGACAGCCAGCUUCUGACUUCUGCUGGCUUCAGCUUCUAAGGACUUGCUAUCUUUUUUAGAUGGCUUGGAGCUAUGGUGGUUUCUGCCUUUCUGUGACACAGGAGGGUUGGGGCUCCUGUAUUUGCAUCACCAAGGGGAUGCACUGGGGACUCCAUAUGUAGACACAAGGGUCUCCUGCCAAGGGUCCUUGCAGAAAUAGAGCACUAGAACGGGACCUCACGCUGCUAUUGCUGUCACUUGUGGC